rnacentral:misc_RNA from 1 species
ACCAUAUUGGAACUACUUUUAAAAAAAGAUGGCGGCGCCCAUAACACCGGUAAAAACUAUAGUUGAAAUCGGGAAAUCGGAGUUCUGUUUAUUGUGUAAAAAUGAAAGUAAGAGACUACACUGUCUAACCAAAUUUAAAGCUACUAAAGAGGAUUAUGUGAAAAAAAUUCAGCAAUUCACCGGGCAGACGUUAGAGUUAUCUCUGCUCCAUAGUACUGUAUGUGUGUGUGUGAAAGUUGUGUACUUAAAUGUCAAAAUGCAAUUGAGUUCAAGAAAAUGUGUUCUGACAACAUUUGUCAAUUUCACUACAAUGUGCAAAGGCGACAAAAACGUAUGCCCAAAACACCACCAUCAACUCUAAAAUCAACUGUUGCAGAGCAAAUUGAACAUUCUGUGGAGAAACUUAAACACAUCAGUUUGGAAGAGGAGAGGAAGCCAAAAAAAUCCAAACAAAAAUUGUCAUUUAACACUUCAGAAGCAGCAACUGACACACAGGUAAUAGACACACCUGACCAUGGAUACUGUAGGCCUAAACUAGUACAGAGUAAAGAACAGGACGACAAAGUAACAAUUUCUGAAAUGAUGGAGAGGUUCAGUGUUAAUGUGUCUCAAAGUAUAUGUAACUCGGUUGAACAGGUUAGCAGAUUUGGUAAAAGUGUAUUAUUUACCAAGGAAACAGGUGAACUCUGUAAGAGGAAUUGGUUUAAGGACAUAGCUAUUGAGAUGAGUGAGAAGUGCCCUGAACUUUUCCAAGUGCUGUUUUCUGCCAUAGGUGAUAAGAUCUCCAUGGAGUCAAAACUUGCCACAAUCUCAACAAUCUAUGGCAUGAUACUCCACUGUCACAAUGUGAAGGCCUGUGCUGUGCAACGCAUUUUUACAGCCUUGUGCAUAAGAUACCAUGCAGAUAAUAAGUUAGUUCCUUUAUACCUUUGAUUUUAUGAAAACUGAGAUGUUUUGAAGACUACCACUGUGAUGGUCUAUAUAGCUCUUUUAGAAAGACUUAAUAAGGUACACUUUACCUUAUCACAUGAGACAAAGAGGAAUUUAUUAAAAGACUUUGCAGAAUUCUCUGAUUUUCGAAUCAUAGAGAAGGUUUCUGAAGGAAAAGAUGGAAAAAUCAAUGGUGAUAAUCUUGAUAUCUACGUCACUACAAAUGAUAUCCGAAUGGAUAAUAAAAAUAGGGAUUAUCACUUUUUUGCAUCAGAUUUUGUCUUUGACCGGAUUAAAACAGAGAAUUUGGAUAACACAAAAAGUUUGAAAGAUAUUGGAAACAUCACUUGGAAAGACUUUGUUCCAACUUCUGAUGAAGACCUUGUAUAUAAGAAGUCAUUACAAAUUUUACUUGGCAGAAUCAUAAGUAUGUAUGCAUCAAAAUUUGAAUGGAUGAAGUCUGUUCUUCCACAGCAUAUUGAACAUGUUCAAGAUGAUGCUAUGUCUCAAAAGUCUGAAGUCUGUUGGAUGCCAGUUCUAAUGAAGAAUGAGACAUGUUACUCUGAUUGCAUUCAGAUUAUGAAGUCCUAUGAAAAACAAAUUUUGCAGUGGUAUACAAAAGGUGGAAGAGCUAAUGACUUGGACAAACUGAAGAUCCCAGUUGGAGGUGACCAACUGACCAGAGUCAGGUUGCAGGGAGCAAAAGCAUGUCAAGAUGGUGCACUGACAGCUGCAGAUAGAUUGGAGCAUAUGGAACCAAUUAUUGUGGAAAUGUUUCAUACAUUACAAGAUCUGUUGGAGAAAAUGUACAAGAGGUUUUACAAGACCAGCAGUGGCAGGGACAAAGGAACAUUGUAUAACUUGAAACUCAUCAUUGAGAGAAGCAAUGUCAAUGGAAAUGUCAAGAGUCGAUUUGAGGCUCACGAAGAUUUUGUUCUGACAGUUGGAAAUGCCUACCUCUUAUCAUUUAUCAUGAACAAAUUUGGUAUGGAGACAUUGGAUGCAGAACCUCAACAUCCCCUUCUGAAGAAUAGAAAUAUUAAGUUCAUGCACAACAAGUAUAAGGAGGAAGUUUUCCACACUAUCAUGGGUGAAAUAGUUGAGGACCUCAUCUGUACAUUUCCAAAACUGGAGCCCAAGGUAUCACUGAAUGUAGAAAUCUUCAAUUCACAAUUUACCGUGAAUAGUACUGUUGGAGAAGGGAAAAUGCUCAAGUUUGAGUUAGUCAUUAACAAUCAAAAGGUUCUUUUCAAUGUUUCCUUGGAGGAUGCACAGGAAGGAGUUAAUAUUGAAUUAAACAUGUUGAAUCGAAGGAUUCCAGUCAGGAUUUCGAUCAAUGAAAAGGACAGAGAUGAUUUACAAAGUUAUGUUUUUCAAUUUCUUCAAUGGUACUUUGUUAUUUUGACAUUUAAGGAUGCAAUCAAGGAGGGAGACUCAGAUAGAACAAAUAUAACAUUAAAGUUCUUCAUCCCCAUAUUUUUCAGCCACUCAAUCUUAUCAAAGUAUCUUGAAGAGUGUGUUGACUAUAUCCUAAAAACUGAAGUUCUGCUCACAGAAAAACUAGCUAUGAAAGUCAGGUAUGGCUCGUUUGUGAAUUUGACUGGUCAUAAAGGAGAAAACAAGGCUGCAGAUCUUCAAAAAGAGAACGAAGUUCUUGUCCUUAAAGAACUGAUACGUGGACUGGGGUCCAACAAAACUGAAAAAGCCAUUGACACCAUCACAAAAGCAGCACCUGUUAUCCAGGAUAUUGUUGAUAACUUUGAUAAAAUGUCCAAUAUUUCCCACAGAAAUACACAUCACAGAAAACGCUCAUCAGAAGGAGAUAUUAAGUGUAUUCUAAAAGUUAUUGUUCCGUUAAAGAUCUGGAAUUACACAGAAGGGCGGACACUAGAAAGUUUUAAGAAAAUUAAGAAAUCUCCGUUUGAUUUUGAAAGAUGCCAGUUUAAGGAAGCGAUAAACAGAAAAAUUCAAAGACUUAAGCGAGGAAUAUCUGUUCCAGAAAGCAGUGAUGAGGAAUCGGACCAAGAGUAGAGCUGUCUAGUAAAAACCAUGUGGACUUCAUCAACAACAAUAGCUCCAACAAUAUCCUGGUACAAUUUGGAUCGCAGCAGUCUGGAAAACUUAGUUUUAAUGAAAGCUUCUGGAUGAGAAUAUAUUAAGAUGAAUUCUCCAUUUGCCAGUUGUUCAAAUGGAACGUCAGAUUCCAGACAUUCUGAACUAGUGAAAUCAAUAUCCUCUUCAUCAUCAAUACUUUCUUCAUAUGUAAUACCAUGUGUACCUUGAAAGAGGGACAUAUAUACUUACUAAUUUAUAUAUUGUUAUAUUUGUCUAUAAUGAAAUGAAAUGAAAUCGGUAUAUAAAUAACAGAAUGAUCAAUCAUU